AAUCAACGCUGGCGGCGUGCCUCAGACAUGCAAGUCGAACGCGAAAGUUUCCUUCGGGGAGCAAGUAGAGUGGCGCACGGGUGAGUAACACGUAGGUAAUCUACCUUUGGAUUGGGAAUAACACCGAGAAAUCGGUGCUAAUACCGAAUAAUGCAGCGGCACCACAUGGUGACAGUUGUUAAAGCGGGGGAUUUUCGGACCUCGCGCCUGGAGAGGAGCCUGCGGCGGAUUAGCUAGUUGGUAGGGUAACGGCUUACCAAGGCGACGAUCCGUAACCGGCCUGAGAGGGCGGUCGGUCACACUGACACUGACAUACGGGUCAGACUCCUACGGGAGGCAGCAGUCGGGAAUUUUGGGCAAUGGGCGAAAGCCUGACCCAGCAACGCCGCGUGAAGGAUGAAAUCCCUCGGGAUGUAAACUUCGCAAGAAUGGGAAGAAUGAGCGAGCGCUAAUACCGUUCGUGAUGACGGUACCAUUUGUAAGCUCCGGCUAACUCCGUGCCAGCAGCCGCGGUAAUACGGGGGGAGCAAGCGUUGUUCGGAUUUACUGGGCGUAAAGGGCGCGUAUGCGGCCAGCGCAAGUCAGUUGUGAAAUCUCCGGGCUUAACUCGGAAAGGUCAACUGAUACUG
rnacentral:rRNA from 1 species